rnacentral:lncRNA from 1 species
ACAAAAGGCAAUCAUUAAAAAGAACCAUUAGUCUUGAUUCAGAUAUAAUUGUUCUUUCAACAAGAUCUGAACAUUUUAAUUUAAAACUAAUAAAUCACAAUUUUGUAUUGGUUUUAAGAUUAUUUUAUUUAAAAAUGACACAGUUUAGAAUUAACCAAAGUAUAUUUCUAUGCCAGGUUAGUUUAUCCAGGUAAGUAAAGAAUAAACCUCACUGCAGCUCCCUUAAUGUAGGAGUCAGCUUUCAAUGACAAAGUCCCUUGCCAGCAAUGGACAUGUAGGUAACCAUAAAAGAAGUGGCAAAUACAAACCCCAAUUGCUUCUAUCUGCAGAAAAGCCCUUUGUGACUCCUUUGUGGAGUCACAGUGGAAGGUGGGGCAUCAGCACGUGUUCCCUGGACAUGGUCUCUAUGAUUGGGAUGGAUGUGCCUUCUUGGGCAGUCAGGAGCCUCAGACUCCUUGUCUGGCUGGUUGCUAUUUCAAGGCAGCGUUUUCAGCAUCAUCCAGCCAGACAACAGCUGACAAAGGGCAUGAGAAAAACUUCUUAAAGCAACUCAGAUGGAGCAAGUUAAAGAAAAGGAAAGCUAUGAAGGAGAACAGAAAGCCAACAGAUGAAACAAAUACUCUGAAAAACUGGAAUCUGCCAUUCAAGUAAUGAAAAAACCCUAAAGGAGACAAGGAACAGGAUCUACUGUAACACAAUCAGCAAAAUAAAAUGCAAAUAGCAUGAUAAAUAACCCUGCAAGCUGUCUGCUGCAUGAUGUAAGCACAGUGACUCAGUACAAUUCUUUUGGGAAGAUAGCCAGCAGAGGAAUAAGUGGGUCAAAUGGGACUUCUAAUCCUAGUUGUUUGAGGUAUCUCCAUAUUGAUUUCCACAGUGGUUGCACCAGUCUGCACUCCCACCAACAAUGAAGAAGGGUUCCUUUCUCCCCACAACCCUGUCAGCAUUUAUUAUUGGUUGAUUUCUUGUUGGCACCCAUUCUUUCUGGGGUGAGGUGGAACCUCAGCGUUGUUUUCUUUUUCUUUAUUUUAUUUUGUUUUAUUUAUUUAUUUAUUUAUUUAUUUUGGUACUGGGGAUUGAACUCAGGUCCUUGCACUUGCAAGACAGGCAGCAGAAACAAUGAGCUAAAUCCUGGCCUCAGCAUUGUUUUCAUCUGCAUCUCUCGAAUGACCAGUGAUGUUGAACAUUUUUUCACGUUUAUUUGCUGCUUUUACUUCUUUGUCUGAGAAAUGUCCGUUCAUUACAGAUGCCCAUUUUUUAAUUGGAUCUUUAAAUUUGGGGGGGGUCUUUUUUUUUUCAGUUCUUUACAUAUUCUAGAUAAUAGGCCUUUGUCAGAGUAACAGCUGUUAAAUUUUUUUUUCCCACAUUGUACGUUGUCUCUUAGCUCUGUUGGUG